GAUCUCCAACAGACGACUGAAGAUUGAGCUCACAAGGAAACAAGUUAGACAUAUAGUCAUGUCUUAAAAAAGACCAAUGCAUAUGACAUGAAGGCAACAAGUAAUGACCUUAAAUUUCUUCAUAUGGAAGACUUAAGAUACACUAGAAAAGUGCUUAACCUCUAUAAGCUCAAUCCUAAAUAUGUAACAAUUCAGUAAGUCAAAAUAAUGCCGAUGGUAACUAGUCUAAUCUUGUGGUCAACAGGUGUUUACCAUUAAAUAGGAACUCACAAAUAAAGCGACAAAUAGAAGAAUUUGUUUGAGCAUAUGUGACGUAGAAAAUCCUAGAGAUAUUAGGACUACUUAUUUUAGGAAAA
rnacentral:misc_RNA from 1 species